rnacentral:tmRNA from 1 species
GGGCUAGUAAUGGUUUCGACGGGGGCUAUGCAGCUGGAGAAGCGAGCCGCAUGCAAUGCGUCAAAUGGCAAAACUAAAAUUAAACGCUGAAGAUAAUUUAGCAUACGCUGCCUAAGGGCGGCAGUCCAACCUAGUGCACCUACACAUUAGGAUCUGGGCUUCGACGAUGUAGGAAACGACACAGGCAAAGCUUUGAGCCUGCGGGCGUAUCAUGAAGCUACUAAAACCGCAAGGGUGUCUGUCCCCGGGCGGCAGAGGGAAUGUCAAAGGACGGACUAAGCUCGUAGAAGGACAGGGAAUUAGCUUUCGGACACGAGUUCGACUCUCGUCUAGUCCACUC